rnacentral:lncRNA from 1 species
UUUUUAUGCAUUGAAAAACUCUUGACUGAUUUGUUUUAAGUGAAUUUGCAUAACUACUUAAUCAAAGUUUGGAAAUUCUACUUUACUGCACUUUCAAUUCAAUAUUUACAAGCAAGAUUUGUGAUCCUGAAAUUAAUAGUCUCAUCUAAACCAUUUUGGCUUUUUACUGCCUUGGUGUUCAAUUACACUGUGAUCUGAUCCAUUUGCUCUGAAACUGCCAGCUGCUGGGGAACUCUGAUGCUUCUGGGAUUCCUUGCUGAGUGACAGUGAGGUCUUAUUCUUAUCCACUCACAGCUGAAGCAUCUGGAGCGUUAAGCAGUAAGUACAGCAUCCAUUUCCUCCCCCUCCUUGUUGUAAAACAGAAGAUACUCUCCCUAGAAUGGUUCUUUUUUCAUUUACCAAAUCAGAGCAACACUGUGACCCACAGUUCCUAGUUCAAAUAAAAAAUUAGAGUUGUUAAACAUAAAAUGCUAAAAUAAGCAAUAAUUUACCCCCAGCACUUACAACCAUCAUGAUCUUGUUGAUUUUUAAGGCAGUAAUGUCAAGUUCACAGUGCAGCUUUCGGUGCUUUUGUAAAGCUGGCCAUAAAGGGAGACCAGCCAAAUCUGGAGAUUUGUAAUGAUGAGACUUAAAGUUUAUUAGAGUGCUGUAAGGAGGAUUGCUGAUUCUGUACAUACUGGUAGCUCUGUGUCAGGAAUAAUACCACACAGAACUAUUGCAUAAAUCAUCUGAACUCAUAAGAGUUGCGAUAGUGCGAGUUUCUUUCAAGAGAAGUUGUGGCAAUGGUGAUAAACACCUAGGAAGGAGAAUAGAAGGAAAAAUCUUUGGUAACAGUUUCCCUAGAAGACACCUGCUGCCUCUGGCAAUUUUGCUCCUUGAAGUGGAUUCUGAGCCAGGUGGAUCUUGCGUGCAGCUGCCCUUGAGGGAUUGUUCCUUCUUCAAUGCAAUUAGCAUUUUUAUGCUGAAAGAGGCAUGCUCUUACUCAAGCCAUGAAUGAGCAACACUAAAUAAAAAAAUCUCAACUAUGCA